ensembl:lncRNA
CUCUUUUCAAGCUAGCCAAUGAAAGACUGAAUGUUUAAAAUCAAAAUGCUUAAAUAUGCCUGUUAUAUCUCACAAGUGUAGUGUACUUGCUUUCCCUUACAUUACAAACCACACAUUAUGGAUGCUGGAAUUUAAUUCAGCCCACUGCAGCAAUAAAACACUGUAAGCAAAACCCUGAAAUGAGGCUUCAUAGCCUCUAGUCAUCCCCACAGGAAGAUGUUGACAGUACCGAGGGCAUCCUUAAGCACCUGGAAAUUGCAUAGAAAGGGUUACCAAUACAAUUUGGAUACACAAGUCAUUGCUCAAAAUUCAGGUGUUAAGUUACCUGUACCCACUUCUUUUCUUCCUGACAAGUUUACACUGUUAAAUGGGGGAUCCUUUGCACAGCCCUUUACACUGACUGUGCAUAGAACCUCUUCUGUCUCUGGAAAACUGGCACUGACAAUCUGCCUUGCAGUAACAAGAGAAAUAGGUCACACCUCUGGGAGGAGAGAUUGAGGGUCACAAAUUAUUUCACAAAAAGGAUGAAGGAGAACUGAUGGUUUUCAUCUUUGUGACAUUUGCACUGGCAUAACAAUUCACACACUAAUUUAUGUAAAACCAGUGGUAAUUGACAGUAGAUUAUCAAGAGAUACACCAGAAUGCUCUUUUUUGGUUUUUGCUUCCUCCCAUCUUAAUUUCAGAUUGAACUGAUUUCUGCUCAGAGCAACAAAACAAAGAUAUUUCACAAGAAGAAUGCUACUGACAUUAAAACUCCAUUGAUUCAACAAAUAGCAUACCAUCUUGUUUAAGAUUAUUUAAUGGCAGGAUUCCAAAUUCCAGUUUAAAAUUCAUAGGCUUUAAUCAUAGAAUCAUAGAAUAGUUAGGGUUGGAAGGGACCUUUAGUAUCAUCUAGUUCCAACACACUUGCUAUAGGCAGGGACACCUCUGUCUGGACCAGGUUGCUUGAAGUCCCAUUCAACCUGACCUUGAAUGUUUCUAAGGAGAGGGCAUUCACAACCUCACUGGGCAACCUGUUCCAGCACUUCACCACCCUCACAGUAAAUAAUUUCUUCCUAAUAUCUAGUCUAAAUCCACACCCUUCCAGCUCAAAACUAUUUCCACUUUUCCUGAUGCUACUGGCCCUUCUAAAAAGUCCCUCCCCAGCUUUCCUGUAGUCCCCUUUCAAGUACUGGAAGGCUGCUACAAAAUCUUCUUCAGAGCCUUCUCUUCUCCAGGCUAUGGAGCGUAGAGGAGGUGCUCCAGCCCUCUGAUCAUCUUCGUGGCCCUCCUCUGAACCUGCUCAAAGAACUCCAUGUCCUUCUUGUGCUGGGAGCUCCAGAACCAGAUGCAGUACUCUAGGUGAGGUCUUUCCACAGAGUAGAGCGUCAGAAUCACCUCCUUUGACUUCCAGGUCAUACUUUUCUUGAUGCAACCCAGGAUACAGUUGGCCUUCUGGGCUGGAAGUGCACACUUGCCAGCUCUUGUUGAAUCUUUCAUCAAUCACACAGUCAAAUCCUUCUUUUCAGGGCUGCUCUCAAGCCAUUUUCCACCCAACCUGUAUCUGUGCUUGAGAGUGCCUUGACCCAGGUGUAGGACUUCACCUCUUUGAACUUCAUGAGGUUGGCAUGGGCCCACCUCUCAAGCCUGUCCAGGUCCCUCUGAAUGGCAUUCCUUCCCUCUAGCGUGUUAACUAUACAACUCAGCUUGAUGUCACCUGCAAACUUGCUGAGGGUGCAAUCCAACUGUCCAUGUUGCCUACAAAGAUAUUAUAUAAUACCAAUCCCAACACCAAUCCCUGAGGAACGCCACUCAUCUCAUCAUCAAUCUCCGCUUGGAAACUGAGCUAUUGACCACAACUUUCUGAGUGCAACCAUCCAGCCAAUCCCUUAUUCAGUGAGUAGUCCAUCCAUCAAAUUUAUUUUCUUCCAAUUUGAUGACCAGGAUGUUGUGUGGGACAGUGUCAAAUGCUUUGCACAAGUCCAGGUAGAUGACAUCAUUUACUUUUCCUUUAUACAUUGAUGCUGUAACUCCAUCAUAAAAGGCCACCAUGUCUGUCAGGCAUGACUUAUCCUUGGUGAAGUCACGUUGGUUACCACGAGUCACCUUGUCUUUAUUUCCCAUGUGCCUUAGUAGAGCCUUCAGGAGGAUCUGUUCCAUGAUCUUGCCAGGCACAGUGGUGAGACUGACUGGCCUCUAGCUCCCUGGAUCUUCUUUUUUUCCUUCUUGAAAAUGGGGAUUAUGUUUCCCCUUUUCCAGUUGGUGGGAACUUCACUAGACUGCCAUGACCUUUCAAAUAUGAUGAAUAGCAGCUUGGCAUCUUCAGCCACUUCCCUCAUAACUCAUGGAUAGUUCUUGUUGGGUCCUAUGGAUUUGUGCACCUUCAGGUUCUUUAGAUGGUCUCAAAAUAAUUGAUGAAGGCGCACGGCUUGGAAGCACACCCACUCCUCUCCCUGGCAGCAAGCGAAAGUGAAAAAGACCGCGCGCAACCAGAUGACGUAUCUUCCGUGAUGUAUCUUCCUUCUCUGACCGUGAGGUCCUCUG